AAAGAAACCAACAGGGAUUGCCUUAGUAGCGGCGAGUGAAGCGGCAAAAGCUCAAAUUUGAAAUCUGGCACUUUCAGUGUCCGAGUUGUAAUUUGAAGAAGGUAUCUUUGGGUCUGGCUCUUGUCUAUGUUUCUUGGAACAGAACGUCACAGAGGGUGAGAAUCCCGUGCGAUGAGAUGUCCCAGACCUAUGUAAAGUUCCUUCGAAGAGUCGAGUUGUUUGGGAAUGCAGCUCUAAGUGGGUGGUAAAUUCCAUCUAAAGCUAAAUAUUGGCGAGAGACCGAUAGCGAACAAGUACAGUGAUGGAAAGAUGAAAAGAACUUUGAAAAGAGAGUGAAAAAGUACGUGAAAAUUGUUGAAAGGGAAGGGCUUGAGAUCAGACUUGGUAUUUUGUAUGUUACUCUCUCGGGGGUGGCCUCUACAGUUUACCGGGCCAGCAUCAGUUUGAGCGGUAGGAUAAGUGCAAAGAAAAUGUGGCACUGCUUCGGUAGUGUGUUAUAGUCUUUGUCGGAUACUGCCAGCUUAGACUGAGGACUGCGGCUUCGGCCUAGGAUGUUGGCAUAAUGAUCUUAAGU
rnacentral:rRNA from 1 species